rnacentral:rRNA from 1 species
AUACGGAGGGGGCAAGCGUUGUUCGGAAUGACUGGGCGUAAAGGGCGCGUAGGCGGAUGUGUAAGUUGGGGGUGAAAGGCCUGGGCUCAACCUGGGAAUUGCCUCCAAAACUACACGUCUUGAGAUCGGAAGAGGAUGGCGGAAUUCCCAGUGUAGAGGUGAAAUUCGUAGAUAUUGGGAAGAACACCGGUGGCGAAGGCGGCCAUCUGGUCCGACACUGACGCUGAGGCGCGAAAGCGUGGGGAGCAAACAGGAUUAGAAACCCCAGUAGUCC